GACGUAGGGUGCGAGCGUUGUCCGGAUUUAUUGGGCGUAAAGAGCUCGUAGGCGGCUUGUUGCGUCAGCUGUGAAAACCCGCGGCUUAACCGUGGGCCUGCAGCUGAUACGGGCAAGCUAGAGUUCGGUAGGGGAGACUGGAAUUCCUGGUGUAGCGGUGAAAUGCGCAGAUAUCAGGAGGAACACCCGUGGCGAAGGCGGCUCUCUGGGACGGUACUGACGCUGAGACGCGAAAGCGUGGGGAGCGAACAGG
rnacentral:rRNA from 1 species